CCUACGGGGGGCAGCAGUGGGGAAUAUUGGACAAUGGGGGCAACCCUGAUCCAGCCAUGCCGCGUGUGUGAAGAAGGCCCUCGGGUUGUAAAGCACUUUCAGUGAGGAAGAACGCCUGGUGGUUAAUACCCAUCAGGAAAGACAUCACUCACAGAAGAAGCACCGGCUAACUCCGUGCCAGCAGCCGCGGUAAUACGGAGGGUGCGAGCGUUAAUCGGAAUUACUGGGCGUAAAGCGCGCGUAGGUGGCUUGAUAAGCCGGUUGUGAAAGCCCCGGGCUCAACCUGGGAACGGCAUCCGGAACUGUCAAGCUAGAGUGCAGGAGAGGAAGGUAGAAUUCCCGGUGUAGCGGUGAAAUGCGUAGAGAUCGGGAGGAAUACCAGUGGCGAAGGCGGCCUUCUGGACUGACACUAACACUGAGGUGCGAAAGCGUGGGUAGCAAACAGGAUUAGAUACCCCAGUAGUC
rnacentral:rRNA from 1 species